UGGAUCUGUGGCGCGGGCGGCUCGAUCCGCGCAAGAUCGAAAGCAUGUGAUCCCGUGCGGGCGAUUGCGUUCAAUGGCAAGUUCCGC
rnacentral:tRNA from 1 species